GAUGAACGCCGGCGGCAUGCCUAAUACAUGCAAGUCGAACGAGAGGAAGGAAAGCUUGCUUUUCUGAAUCUAGUGGCGAACGGGUGAGUAACACGUAGGUAACCUGCCCAUGUGCCCGGGAUAACUUCUGGAAACGGAUGCUAAAACCGGAUAGGUAGCAGACAAGCAUUUGACUGCUAUUAAAGUAGCUAAGGCCAUGAACAUGGAUGGACCUGCGGUGCAUUAGCUAGUUGGUGAGGUAACGGCCCACCAAGGCGACGAUGCAUAGCCGGCCUGAGAGGGCGGACGGCCACAUUGGGACUGAGACAAGGCCCAAACUCCUACGGGAGGCAGCAGGAGGGAAUUUUCGGCAACGGGGGGAACCCUGAACGAGCAAUGCCGCGUGAGUGAGGAAGGUCUUCGGAUCGCAAAGCUCUGUUGUAAGAGGAAAACGACAUUCAUAGGGAAUGAUGAGUGAGUGAUGGUAUCUUACCAGAAAGUCACGGCUAACUACGUGCCAGCAGCCGCCGCAG
rnacentral:rRNA from 1 species